UACGGGGGGGGCAAGCGUUGUUCGGAAUUACUGGGCGUAAAGGGCUCGUAGGCGGCCAACUAAGUCGGACGUGAAAUCCCCAGGCUCAACUUGGGAACUGCGUCCGAUACUGGAUGGCUUGAAUUCGGGAGAGGGAUGCAGAAUUCCAGGUGUAGCGGUGAAAUGCGUAGAUAUCUGGAGGAACACCGGUGGCGAAGGCGGCAUCCUGGACCAAUAUUGACGCUGAGGAGCGAAAGCCAGGGGAGCAAACGGG
rnacentral:rRNA from 1 species